AGCCACCGCCUUCGAGAAGGUGGCAGGCAGGGCACAGUCCAUCUUAAGUUCACCACAGACAGACAGAGCAUGGCAGCCCAGCCACUGAACUGAACAGGAGUCUACGAACAGAAAUCCUGGUACAGUGCGAAGGAUGGAGCUCAGUCAGCAAACUUCAGCUUACUCUGCAGGCUGCUCAACCCAUGGUCAUCAGAAGAAGCUGACCACCACCUUCCCUUGUAUCACCCGCUCUGUGCCAAAGGACCCGCUCCUCUAGCCCCUAAGGCAUGAAGCCCUGAGCCACCUGUCAGAGGAGCUGGGAGCAGCUCCCUAGUGAUGGAGGACAGCCCCGUGCCAACUGCUACCCUUUCCUGAACUAUGGGGCAUCCAACAGGCAAAGCUACAAGAGACAGCCUCACCCUUUCCAGCUGGCUGUCCCUGAGACGGAGGGAUGGGACUGUCGGCAUGAGUUGGAAGUGAGCCACCAGUUGCCUGAGUGAAGUGGACAUUGGAUGCCAAGGGAUAGCCUCAUUCCCUGCUUAGCUCUGCAUGUGGGAAGUACCCAGUGCAGGCAUGGACAGAAGGAAAGGCUCAGAUUGGGCACAAGUCAGGCCUAUGGAGCAUCCUGCUUCAUGCCUUCCUCUGCUUCAUGAUUUGGGGAAAACACACCCUUCCUUUUUUUUUAAGAUUUAUUUAUUAUUAUAUCUAAGUAUACUGUAGCUGUCUUCAGAUGCACCAGAAGAGGGCAUCAGAUCUCAUUACAGAUGGUUGUGAGUCACCAUGUGGUUGCUGGGAUUUGAACUCAGGACCUUCGGAAGUGCAGUCGGUGCUCUUAACCACUGAGCCAUCUCUCCAGCCCCGAAAACACACCCUUCUUAUGCCCCUUUACUUUGUUCAUUGGGGGACAUAGGGAUUCUAAUAGAACUUCGCUUUAGGAUCAGGGCAGGUCCAAAGAACACAAGAGCUUAUGCAGAUACUCUGCAGCCCUCCCAGCAGCCCUUUGGAAUAGACACAGAGAAGUCGAGAGAUACACAGAGUUCAAGGGCACACAGCUCAUCAGAGGCAAGGCCAGUGCCAGACUCUAAGCAGUGUGACUCAGACCCGAGAUCCUUCUCUCCUCUUGGCAAAGGGCUCCUUGUAUGGAUCCAUGGCUCCUCUUUCUCUCACUGACCAGGAGCAGGGCUGCUCCGAGGAAGAAGGCUGCCACCUGCCCUGCUGCAGGAGAAAGACACAGCCUUCUAAGAGGUACUUAAGAGGUGUCCCUGAGGGCUCAUUAAGUUCGUGGCUCUUCCUGGUCCCACCUGUGUGAACUCCACCCACCUCUGUCUUUGAAAAGUCUUAGAGCAGGGUAUUCAAAACCCCUUAAUUCGGGGAGGUAUCAGGGAAGGGCGGGUGCCUAGGUAAGCAGAUGCUACGGAAGGAACCAAAGAGUUUAUCCGAGACUCAGCCGGAUCGGGAAGGGAUGUCACAGCCUGAGGUUUCUCUCUCCUUGGUCUCUGUGUCUGUCCCCAUUGGCAGCUCUCCCAUUCAACCUGGACGCCCUGGUCCACCUUCCCAGGCCCUUUCUUCCCAGAUCCAGCAUCCUCCACAUCCUCUUCUCUGUGCUGAGAUCAGGUUUGCCCUUCCGGAUCCAUCCUGCCCUCCUGUGCCUGUCACUAUGCCUGGAGUAGAUCCUGCCCUCCUGUGCCUGUCACUAUGCCUGGAGUAGAUGACUUGGCAGAGCAUCUCCCGUCUCCCCUGACCUUAGAGACGAGUGGUCCCAAGAACUCCAAAGAUGGGGAACAGAGCAGUGAGUGGGACAUGUGCCCCAAUCUGGAGACUCUCCCUCCCAUGGGCUCACUCUGUCCCUGUUCCCUCUACCUCCCCAUGUGUCUUCUCUGUUAUGCUAAACCGUGCUCUCUAUGCCCCUGGGACUCUGACCAGGGCUUACCAUCUCCCUGGGGGUCUCUCCUCCCCCUCCAGUCUGGUCCCUAUCCUCCCCAAAGCUUCAUCUUUCCAGGAUGCUGCAUCUUGCUGUCCAGUUAUUUCCAGAUCUGUCUUUCUAAUUCCACCCCAGCCAAUUCUGGCUGUGUCUGCCUUAUUGUCUUCAUUUCUCUUUCCCUCCCCAGACUCUGUGGAAACAUUCACUUCAAGCACAGCACUCUCCCUUUCCCAGGAUGCACAGGGGAGUGUUCACAGUGAGGAUCUGUGAGCCCCUGAGGAAGGUAUCAGUGGAACUAGUGGCUUGCCCCAACAUCUGCUCCUGGAUCCUCACUUUGUGACUAUCUGAAGGGAUGAGUGUGUGACAGCCACUGUGUCAUGAGACUGUCCCCUCCCAACUGAAGCACUUGCACCUAGAAGGGAAGGAGGCUCACAGGUCUCAGUAAGGAAAGGAAACACACAAAGUUCAGAAGGGCCUGAAACUUACAAGAUUCCUGACACCCUUUCCAAUGUUACAUAAGCAGUAACAAUGGCUGGCGACUCUUGGGUGGAGCUGCCUGUAGGAAGCCCAAGGAAGGUAAAUUUCUUGAAUCACUCAUGCUGGGGUGGGUAGUGCAUGCUACAGCUGCCUUGAGUCAUCUGUGGUCCUGUAAGCAAUCUAAUAAGCUCACUGGGUCACCAAGCUGCACUCGGAUAAGUGAUUUCUUUGCUCAUCGGCACCCAAGCUGGGGCAAACUGGCAUCUCUUCACAUCUCCCCAGGAAAACUCACACAACAGACGCCCCUGUGGCCAGCUAAGGUGGAGCCUGGGAAUAAAGUAACGAGUCUGCUCCCGCUACUCUGUGUUCAGAGCCCCCUGGCUCCCCUCAUCAGAACGCCAUCACCCGAUGUCAUGAGGCUGUCACCCUCAACUCCAGAGAUCCCUGCCUCUUCUUCAUCUCCCCCUCCCACGAGCCCCUUCUUCCCCAAGAGUCAUCCUUGACUCUCCUCUUCCUGAAGCCCCAUCCUGGGCUACUCUCUCCACAGUGGAUCUUCAGAGCAUCUGUUGGCUUCCAGCCCCCACUGCCUGGGGCACUCCACCCUGUGUGGAGGCCAUCUCUCUAAGGCUCUGCUGCAGACCCCUCCUCUCUGAGCAUCUGCCAGCCUCACUUCUAACGAGUCCACCCUGGGAUCCACCUACCUGCCUGGCCCUGGGCCCCUGGAUGCCAGAGGGAUGCUUCGACCCUGCAGAGCCACCUCGAAGAGCCUGCUGUUGUCAUGGUGAUGUGCUUCUCUCCCUGAGAUGUGCAGACUGCAUGGCUGGAGUUGGAUGUCAUGUCUCCCGGCCUGCCUGCCUGAGGACAUGGUGGCUCUUCCCGGGAGUCCUCCCCAAACAACCCAGUUGGAAGUGACCUUGCUAACUUUUUAAAUUUAGAUUUAUUUUUAUGUGUGUUAA